AGUAGGAGACCAAUUUAACUGUGUCCACCUUUCAGCUGUAACUUCUUUGCUCUUUGGUGCUGUUUUCCACCAGCCUAAGAGCACAGGAGGAAAUGCCCUGAUAUGUCUCAGCUAACAGGUCAGCCCAACCUGCUUUGACUCACCCAUUUAGGAAAUUGAGUCGAAUACCAGGUGUGCAAAGUAGAUUGGAUAUGAAGGAUUAUUUGUUUUGCUGCAGUAUUUUGUGGUAAGAUUAUCUCAGGGAAGAGAAAGUGAAUGUUCCACACCAAAAAAAGAGGACAGCUUUGUGUUUCCAGUCAGUUUAAACCACUACACUUCCCUACUGACCUGUCUAAUCUUUUCCACAGAUAAUUAUUUUGCAGCACCUGAGGGUGAGUCCUCAGGUAUCAGCAAUUUUUACAUACUGUCAUGGAUAGCUCUGUCCCCUGCUGUGACCAGCUCUUGUCCCUAGUUUUCAUGGAGGGUUCUUGCAGAAAAAUCCCAAUCAGGGCAUGUACUCAAAAAAAACUUCUCCAUUUUAAGCACUUUACUUUUUCUUCCAUUUCAGAAGCAGCUGUCCACAGAUAAGAAUCCAACCAAAUAAAUCCCUGGGUAGAUUGCCUUUGAAUUGAGCUCUCUGCCUUUCUAAAAGCAAGCUUUACCUUGUGCAUGUGUUACAUCUUCCAAAAUAAUGAAUUUAAACCCCCAGUUCUGUUUUCCAGCGUUGAGGGGAGAUCAGACCCGGCAGUUGAGGAGAAUGGGAAACGCAGACCUGGAGGAAAGCAGGCAAACAAGUACCUGACAAUUGCAGCGGUGAUAAAUAAGGCAGACGGGUAGGAAAGAGCCAUAAAACAGGAGGAGAGGGGAUAAGAAAGAGAGACAUUCCUUUCCUGAGUGGAAAGAGUCUUCACUGUGUUGCUAUUUCUGACACGGGGCAGGGAUGGGGAGGACAAAUCCUCCUGUGUCAAGAAAAAGGGGUAAAUGCAGCAUCUCUUCUUCACAAAAUGGAUAUUUUAUGAAGACUAAGAAGAUAAAAUGCUUGGUAUGCUUGAGGGGCAGGGUAAUUCUAGAGAAUAGAAGAGUUUUCUUUCCUACUUGUUUUCCCAUGCAGCCCAGAGUUAUUUAGCUGAGCUUUUAAUACACAAGUGGGAAUUUUGCUGAAUGAUUCUCCAGUACAACUUUUAUGCAAUUUUUUUCUCCUGUUUCUUUCCCCUCCGCCCCUUUUUGUUUUCUUUUGUUUGAACUACCCAUAGGCAGUGGUUCAAUAGCAGACUUUUAAAGAAUGGGUUGUUGGUGUGGGUUGAGGUUGAUCUGGUCAAAGAUGUGGGUAUUUUUGUAUUUUUUUCUGGCCUGGUUACCGGGCCAGAGGACAGAGCAGCAGUAAGAGAAGCAGUAGUUGAUUCCAGGGCCAUUAGGAUUCUGGGUGGCAUUAGGAUUGCCUUCUUUUUUUUUUUUUUUUUUUUUUUCCCCAUGAGAAAAUGUAAUGCAAGUUAAGCAGAAUCUGAAUACAGUCUUUUUAUUGUUUUGUCCAAAACCUGAGGCAAUUAGGAAAAGAACAGAGAUUGUCAAGCAUUUAAACCCUCCAGCUCUCACAGCAUGGAGUGUGACAAGGCCAAACUGGAAGCCAACUUCUCUUCCCCAGGAUCAGAGAGACAACAAAUGGCCCAGCUGAUACUUGCUGCUGAAUUUCUUCAGGUUAAACUCAGCUACCAGAUGUUGCUGGAAUCAAGAUCAAAAUGAAAAAAGCACAUUUGCAAGAUAUGGACAAAACUGGCAUGGGGCACUCCAUUGCAACCCUGGCAGUGCUGAGGGUUAUGAAGAUCCCUGUGUUGGCACAAGGUGACCUCCCAAACACGCCAUGUGCUGCUGCGCAGACUUGCAGAUCUCCAUAUGAACUCCAAGGACACUCAGGAUCCUUCUGCUUGAAGAAUGAUGUUACUGCUCAACUGCAAACAUCUCAAGACAAAGACACACCAAAUUCUACCAUAACCUUAAUGUAAUUACCCCAUUAUGGAAUUCUAAAAGAACUAGAAGAAUUCAUCACUAAAUUUGUACUGAAAGCUAUUAUUAAUUUGAGGUAAACAAACCAAGACUGGUU